rnacentral:rRNA from 1 species
UACGAAGGGGGCUAGCGUUGCUCGGAAUUACUGGGCGUAAAGCGCACGUAGGCGGCUUUGUAAGUUAGAGGUGAAAGCCCGGGGCUCAACUCCGGAACUGCCUUUAAGACUGCAUCGCUUGAAUCCAGGAGAGGUGAGUGGAAUUCCGAGUGUAGAGGUGAAAUUCGUAGAUAUUCGCAAGAACACCAGUGGCGAAGGCGGCUCACUGGCCCGGUACUGACGCUGAGGUGCGAAAGCGUGGGGAGCAAACAGG